CACCUCUGUCCACGGUCCCUCUUCUCCACCUGCCGGGCUUUCCCUUCCCCUCCGGCUUUCCUCCCCAGCCCGACGUCCCUCCGUACCCUUUCUCAUCCCCUGCUAUCGCUCCUCUCUUCCCGUCCCCAUUUUCAUUCUUUCCCCGCGGCCGCGGGGCUCGGGGCGCCGGAGAAUAAAGCCCAGAGGGCCGGAGCCCGGCGCCCCUCGGCCCCUGCAGGAGUCCCCGCACGGGGCCGGAGCUCUCGGCGGAUCCCCCCGUGCCGCUCAGACACAGCGCCCGACACUGCCGGACCUGCGGCUCUCCCGACAUGCCGCUGAGAGCGGCCCCGCUCUGUGCCGAGCCGUCCCUGCCGCUCCCUGUCUCUGCCCCUCGGGGGUGACAGCGAGGCUGGGGAGGAACUUCAGCCCCUCUCGGGUUGGAAGGGACCUCAAAAACGACCCAGUUCCAUCCCCCUGUCCCGGGCAGGGACACCUUCCCCUGGGCCAGGUUGCUUUGCUGUGCCCCCAGAUCUGUCACCUGAGCUGAGCCGUCCCCACACGUUCCACGCAUGUUCCCGCAGGGACCACACAAGCUUUGCCACAAGGAAAAGUCCUAAAGGCCCUGUUCAUCCCAAGACAUCAAACCUAGAAUUUCUUUCUUGCUGCACUGUUUGCACUUCUUUCUUUCUCAAAGUGUCACGCACAGGAAAUAUUGCUGCGGCCUACUCCUGUGGGAUUUUCAGGAGUAUUGGAUAUAGUUUCCUUUUUUUUUCCCUUUUCUUUGUAGCAGGAAUCUUCAAAAUCCUUUCCUCCUCCUCAAGACUCUGGGGCUCAUCAUUCCGUAGAAGCAGCCAAUUUGGAAGCACUCUGCAGAGAUCUAUCUGCCUGGGAGGAGAAGCAGAGGCGACCACUGAAAAGUGGCACGUGAGCUCUGGUGAGGACUGCUGCUCCGCCUGCCUUGGUGUGGGAACUGCUGAGCUGCCGUUCCUGUGGUGGGAGUGUUUCUCCUCUCAUGCAGGCAAGGCAGAGACCUGCCAGGUAAGGAGCAGGUAAGGUUUAAGUGACGAGAUGUCCCAAGGAAGAAGUGACAUGACAAAAGGAAAUGGCCUCGAGUUGCAGCAGGGAAGGCUUAGAUUGGAUUGUAGGAAACACUUCCUCACUGGAAGGGUGGUGAGGCAUUGGAGCAGGCUGCCCAGGGAAGUCCCCGUCCCUGGAGACAUGGAAAGGAUGUGUAGACGUGGUGUUUAGGGACCUGAUUUGGGGGUGGGGGGGGCUUGGCAGUGCUGGGGCAACGAGGGAGGGAGGCAGGGAGGGAGAAAAAUCCUCUCUUAACAUGUACCAAUUAAUCUGUGAAACUCAUCACGGCAGGACAGCACGAAGACUGAAAGUGUGAUAAGGUGUGGAGUGAAAUGGAGAAUCCGAGAAGUGACAAGAGCAUCCGGUGCACAGGGGGGCUGUGCAGUUUGCUUUUUGCUUGGAUUUCAACUCCAAAGUUGUGAGGAAUUUGGAACGAGAUGGGACAUUUCAGAAGAAGACCAAGGAGAGGAAGAAGAAGUUGUUGCAGUCCUGGCAAAAUCUUUUUUUCCUAGCUAAUAAAAGAAGUUAGUGUGGAAAAAAAAAAAAAAAAGAAAAGUGUUUCUUUUUUCCUUCACUCGUAUAUUCUUUGGUGGUGGAUGUAUGGUGUGUUGUUUUCCUUUUCGGUAUUAUUAACUAUGUGCAAUUUGGUUUUGGAGUGAAGAUAACCUUAUGGAUGGGGUUGGUUUGUAUUUGAGGUAGAAUUAAUUUCAGUAGGUUUUCUUAACAGACUUCUGAGAUGUAGAAUAUUGGGAUUUUGGUUGUGUUCCUUGUAUGUGUAAAGAUACAGAUUUGGUAGGGCUAGCUGGGCUGCUGGAGUUUUGGGUGGUAAUUUAUUAGAUGGCUUUUGCUGGAUGCCAUUUUUAAUUUUUGAAAGUUUUUUUUUCAUGUAGCAGUUUUAAAGUGGUUUUUAAGAAUUCAUAGUAUUGCUUUAUAUUGUUUCUGCUUGGUGUAUGAUAAGGGAUAUGGUGUACCUCUUGAAUGUUAUGCUUUUGGUGUUCAUAAGUUUCGAUUUAUUUCUGGAUAAAUGUUUUUUUUUUUUUUUAGUUUUAGUUUUUGGGCUCAGGCGCAUUUAUGUGGUGGGUUUCUAUAGGCAAUUUUUAAAAAUCUGUGUAGUGAUCUUUUAAAGUAUUUUAAUAUUCAAUUUUUAUUAUGCUUUUAAUUGGCUUUUUAGAAAUUCUUUUUAUGGAUUAUUGGUUAUUAUUUGUGAGUUAGCAUAAAGGUAGAGCUUUGGGGGCUUUUUUUAGACGUGUUUAGGGUCAGUUGUACAGUUUGGAGUUUAGUGAGUUGGUCUGAUGUAUUUUUUAUGCCAUUUGUUUUUAUUAGCAGUUAUUUCAUUUUAAAUGUGUAUUUGCGGUUUUUGGGUUUUUGAGAUGUUGGUUGAGGAGGAAGUUUACGCUUAUAAAUGAUGGAGGUUUUGGGGUAAUAAUAAUGGGAUUUUAAAAUUGAUUUAUAGUUGGGUUUAUUUGAAUUUUGAAUGGGGUUAAGUGUGGUGGGAUCCUUGUUCUCUUAGUAAUAGAAACAGGUUUUGUUUUGAAACGGUGUGACGGGGCGAGUGUGUACUGCGGCCUGGUGCUGAGCAGGGCGUGGUGGUUUUGUGCUGCUGAUGUGUUAGGUCAGUGAAUGCAUAUGGUUUACUGUAUAGUUUAAAAUAGAAAUAGCUUCAAAUUUUAAAAGAAAAAUGAAAUUAUAAUGAUAAAAAUAAAUACAGAAAACAGAUCAAUACAUAAAACUAUAAUAUAUAGUGUACUAUUGUAAAGAUAAUAUGAUAUAUAAAAUGCUGUCUCUUGUAUAUCUAUACAAAAUAUAUAGAUUGUAAAUAUAAAAAUAUUUAAAUAUA